rnacentral:rRNA from 1 species
CCCUUAGAUGUUCUGGGCCGCACGCGCGCUACACUGAUGCAUUCCACGAGCCUAUCCUUGACCGACAGGUCCGGGUAAUCUUUGAAUCUGCAUCGUGACGGGGAUAGAUUAUUGCAAUUAUUAAUCUUCAACGAGGAAUGCCUAGUAGGCGCAAGUCAUCAGCUUGCGUCGAUUACGUCCCUGCCCUUUGUACACACCGCCCGUCGCUCCUACCGAUUGGGUGUGCUGGUGAAAUGUUCGGAUCGGCCGUUUGUCGCGGUUUCCGCGUCAUGUGGCUGAGAAGUUCAUUAAACCCUCCCACCUAGAGGAAGGAGAAGUCGUAACA